UCCUCGUUAGUAUAGUGGGACAGUAUCUCUGCUUGUCACGCAGAAGACCAGGGUUCGAUUCCCUGACGGGGGA
rfam:Gasterosteus aculeatus cont1.015688, whole genome shotgun sequence.